AGAAUCAACGCUGGCGGCGUGCCUAACACAUGCAAGUCGAACGAGAAAGUGGAGCAAUCCAUGAGUAAAGUGGCGUACGGGUGAGUAACACGUGACUAACCUACCCUCGAGUGGGGAAUAACCUCGGGAAACCGGGGCUAAUACCGCAUAACAUCUACGGAUCAAAUGCGUAAGCAGCUUGAGGAGGGGGUCGCGGCCGAUUAGCUAGUUGGCGGGGUAAUGGCCCACCAAGGCAAUGAUCGGUAGCCGGCCUGAGAGGGCGCACGGCCACACUGGAACUGAAACACGGUCCAGACUCCUACGGGAGGCAGCAGUGGGGAAUUUUGCGCAAUGGGGGAAACCCUGACGCAGCAACGCCGCGUGGAGGAUGAAGCCCCUUGGGGUGUAAACUCCUUUCGAUCGGGACGAUUAUGACGGUACCGGAUGAAGAAGCACCGGCUAACUCUGCGCCAGCAGCCGC
rnacentral:rRNA from 1 species